UAAACUGAAUUUUCCUUUCAGUCAGCAUUAGGGUUUUAAACCCUAAACUGAACUUUUUUCCAUUCCGCCAGCAUUAGGGUUUUAAACCCUAAACUGAGCUUUUCCAUGCAGUCAGCAUUAGGCUUUUAAACCCUAAACUGAAUUUUCCUUUCAGUCAGCAUUAGGGUUUUAAACCCUAAACUGAACUUUUUUCAUUCAGCCAGCAUUAGGGUUUUAAACCCUAAACUGAGCUUUUCCAUGCAAUCAGCAUUAGGGUUUUAAACCCUAAACUGAAUUUUUCCUUUAGUCAGCAUUAGGGUUUUAAACCCUAAACUGAACUUUUUUCCUUUCAGCCAGCAUUAGGGUUUUAAACCCUAAACUGAGCUUUUCCAUGCAAUCAACAUUGGGGUUUUAAACCCUAAACUGAAUUUUUCCUUUAGUCAGCAUUAGGGUUUUAAACCCUAAACUGAACUUUUUUCCAUUCCGCCAGCAUUAGGGUUUUAAACCCUAAACUGAGCUUUUCAAUGCAGUCAGCAUUAGGGUUUUAAACCCUAAACUGAAUUUUCCUUUUAGUCAGCAUUAGGGUUUUAAACCCUAAAUUGAACUUUUUCCCAUUCCGCCAGCAUUAGGGUUUUAAACCCUAAACUGAGCUUUUCAAUGCAGUCAGCAUUAGGGUUUUAAACCCUAAACUGAAUUUUCCUUUCAGUCAGCAUUAGGGUUUUAAACCCUAAACUGAACUUUUUUCCAUUCCGCCAGCAUUAGGGUUUUAAACCCUAAACUGAGCUUUUCAAUGCAGUCAGCAUUAGGGUUUUAAACCCUAAACUGAAUUUUCCUUUCAGUCAGCAUUAGGGUUUUAAACCCUAAACUGAGCUUUUCAAUGCAGUCAGCAUUAGGGUUUUAAACCCUAAACUGAAUUUUCCUUUUAGUCAGCAUUAGGGUUUUAAACCCUAAACUGAAUUUUUCCUUUAGUCAGCAUUAGGGUUUUAAACCCUAAACUGAACUUUUC
rnacentral:lncRNA from 1 species